rnacentral:rRNA from 1 species
UACGAAGGGGGCGAGCGUUGUUCGGAUUUACUGGGCGUAAAGGGCGCGUAGGCGGCGCCGCAAGUCGAGUGUGAAAGCCCCGGGCUCAACCUGGGAAUUGCGCUCGAGACUGUGGUGCUGGAGUUCGGGAGAGGAGCGUGGAAUUCCCAGUGUAGAGGUGAAAUUCGUAGAUAUUGGGAAGAACACCGGUGGCGAAGGCGGCGCUCUGGACCGAGACUGACGCUGAGGCGCGAAGGCGUGGGGAGCAAACAGGGAUUAAGAAACCCCAGGUA